GCCUUCGUGGUGUAGUGAUCAGCACGCUCGACGCGUGUUCGAGAAGUCCGUGGUUCGAGUCCCCGCGAAGACG
rfam:Stegodyphus mimosarum contig125666, whole genome shotgun sequence.